GAUGAACGCUGGCGGCGUGCCUAAUACAUGCAAGUCGAGCGAACAGACGAGGAGCUUGCUCCUCUGACGUUAGCGGCGGACGGGUGAGUAACACGUGGAUAACCUACCUAUAAGACUGGGAUAACUUCGGGAAACCGGAGCUAAUACCGGAUAAUAUAUUGAACCGCAUGGUUCAAUAGUGAAAGACGGUUUUGCUGUCACUUAUAGAUGGAUCCGCGCCGCAUUAGCUAGUUGGUAAGGUAACGGCUUACCAAGGCAACGAUGCGUAGCCGACCUGAGAGGGUGAUCGGCCACACUGGAACGUAGACACGGUCCAGACUCCUACGGGAGGCAGCAGUAGGGAAUCUUCCGCAAUGGGCGAAAGCCUGACGGAGCGACGCCGCGUGAGUGAUGAAGGUCUUCGGAUCGUAAAACUCUGUUAUUAGGGAAGAACAAAUGUGUAAGUAACUAUGCACGUCUUGACGGUACCUAAUCAGAAAGCCACGGCUAACUACGUG
rnacentral:rRNA from 1 species